GCGUAAUAGCUCACUGGUCGAGUGACUCUGCGCCGAAAAUGUACCGGGGCUAAACGUAUCACCGAAGCUGUGGAUUGACAUCUUUGAUGUCAGUGGUAGGAGAGCGUUCUAAGUGCWGYGAAGUCAGACCGUAAGGACUGGUGGAGCGCUUAGAAGUGAGAAUGCCGGUAUGAGUAGCGAAAGACAAGUGAGAAUCUUGUCCACCGAAUGCCUAAGGUUUCCUGAGGAAGGCUCGUCCGCUCAGGGUUAGUCGGGACCUAAGCCGAGGCUGAAAAGCGUAGGCGAUGGCCAACAGGUUGAUAUUCCUGUACCACCUCCCCGCCGUUUGAGUAAUGGGGGGACGCAGUAGGAUAGGGUAAGCGCGCUGCUGGAUAUGCGCGUUCAAGCAGUUAGGCUGAUGAGUAGGCAAAUCCGCUCAUCAUAAAGGCUGAGCUGUGAUGACGAGGGAAUUAUAGUACCGAAGUUCCUGAUUCCACACUGCCAAGAAAAGCCUCUAGCGAGGCGGGAGGUGCCCGUACCGCAAACCGACACAGGUAGGCGAGGAGAGAAUCCUAAGGUGAUCGAGAGAACUCUCGUUAAGGAACUCGGCAAAAUGACCCCGUAACUUCGGGAGAAGGGGUGCUCUGGUAGGGUGUAUAGCCCGAGAGAGCCGCAGUGAAUAGGCCCAGGCGACUGUUUAGCAAAAACACAGGUCUCUGCGAAGCCGCAAGGCGAAGUAUAGGGGCUGACGCCUGCCCGGUGCUGGAAGGUUAAGAGGAGGGGUUAUCCUUUGGGAGAAGCUCUGAAUCGAAGCCCCAGUAAACGGCGGCCGUAACUAUAACGGUCCUAAGGUAGCGAAAUUCCUUGUCGGGUAAGUUCCGACCCGCACGAAAGGCGUAACGAUCUGGGCACUGUCUCAACGAGAGACUCGGUGAAAUUAUAGUACCUGUGAAGAUGCAGGUUACCCGCGACAGGACGGAAAGACCCCGUGGAGCUUUACUGUAGCCUGAUAUUGAAUUUUGGUACAGCUUGUACAGGAUAGGUAGGAGCCUGAGAAGCCGGAGCGCUAGCUUCGGUGGAGGCGUCGGUGGGAUACUACCCUGGCUGUAUUGAAAUUCUAACCCGCGGCCCUGAUCGGGCCGGGAGACAGUGUCAGGUGGGCAGUUUGACUGGGGCGGUCGCCUCCUAAAAUGUAACGGAGGCGCCCAAAGGUUCCCUCAGAAUGGUUGGAAAUCAUUCGUAGAGUGUAAAGGCACAAGGGAGCUUGACUGCGAGACCUACAAGUCGAGCAGGGACGAAAGUCGGGCUUAGUGAUCCGGUGGUUCCGCAUGGAAGGGCCAUCGCUCAACGGAUAAAAGCUACCCCGGGGAUAACAGGCUUAUCUCCCCCAAGAGUCCACAUCGACGGGGAGGUUUGGCACCUCGAUGUCGGCUCAUCGCAUCCUGGGGCUGUAGUCGGUCCCAAGGGUUGGGCUGUUCGCCCAUUAAAGCGGUACGCGAGCUGGGUUCAGAACGUCGUGAGACAGUUCGGUCCCUAUCCGUCGUGGGCGUAGGAAAUUUGAGAGGAGCUGUCCUUAGUACGAGAGGACCGGGAUGGACACACCGCUGGUGUACCAGUUGUCUUGCCAAAGGCAUCGCUGGGUAGCUAUGUGUGGACGGGAUAAGUGCUGAAAGCAUCUAAGCAUGAAGCCCCCCUCAAGAUGAGAUUUCCCAUAGCGCAAGCUAGUAAGAUCCCUGAAAGAUGAUCAGGUUGAUAGGUCAGAGGUGGAAGCGUGGCGACAUGUGUAGCUGACUGAUACUAAUCGAUCGAGGACUUAACCAAA
rnacentral:rRNA from 2 species